GGCUGGAUGCCGCCAGGCCAUGGUGCAGAUGGAGCUGCUUUGGGCAGCCACUGCACUGAUGCUGCUGGGGGCUGCCAUCAGCCUCUGUGUCCGGUGCCAGCGCUCGGUUACCAAGCGAGAGAAGCAGCUGAAUGACCAGAGGAGCCAGCUCAGAAGCCAGCAGAGUUUUGAGGUGAUCCGAUCCCAUUCCA